rnacentral:rRNA from 1 species
GUGCAGCAGGCGCGAAACCUCCGCAAUGCGGGAAACCGUGACGGGGUCACCCCGAGUGCCCCCGAUAAGGGGGCUUUUCCCCGCUGUAAGGAGGCGGGGGAAUAAGCGGGGGGCAAGUCUGGUGUCAGCCGCCGCGGUAAUACCAGCCCCGCGAGUGGUCGGGACGAUUAUUGGGCCUAAAGCGCCCGUAGCCGGCCCGGCAAGUCUCCCCUCAAAUCCUCGGGCUCAACCCGAGGGCUGGGGGAGAUACUGCCGGGCUAGGGGGCGGGAGAGGCCGGGGGUACUCCCGGGGUAGGGGCGAAAUCCUAUAAUCCCGGGAGGACCACCCGUGGCGAAGGCGCCCGGCUGGAACGCGCCCGACGGUGAGGGGCGAAAGCCGGGGGAGCGAACCGGAUUAGAUACCCGGGUAGUCCCGGCUGUAAACGAUGCGGGCUAGGUGUUGGGCGGGCUUAGAGCCCGCCCAGUGCCGCAGGGAAGCCGUUAAGCCCGCCGCCUGGGGAGUACGGCCGCAAGGCUGAACUUAAAGGAAUUGGCGGGGGAGCAC